GACGAACGCUGGCGGCGUGCUUAACACAUGCAAGUCGAACGGAAAGGCCCCCUUGUGUGGUACUCGAGUGGCUAACGGGUGAGUAACUCGUCAGUAACCUACCCUUGCCUUUGGGAUAACUUCAGGAAACUGGGGCUAAUCCCGGAUAGGAGCUCCUGCUGCAUGGUGGGGGUUGGAAAUUUUCGGCGGUUGGGGAUGGACUCGCGGCUUAUCAGCUUGUUGGUGGGGUAGUGGCUCACCAAGGCUUUGACGAGUAGCCGGCCUGAGAGGGUGACCGGCCAAAUUGGGACUGAGAUACGGCCCAGACUCCUACGGGAGGCAACAGUGGAGAAUAUUGCACAAUGGGCGGGAGCCUGAUGCAGCAACGCCACGUGCGGGAUGACGGCCUUCGGGUUGUAAACCGAUUUCGCCUGUGACGAAGCGUGAGUGACGGUAAUGGGUGAAGAAGCACCGGCUAACUACGUG
rnacentral:rRNA from 1 species